rnacentral:rRNA from 1 species
AGCAGCCGCGGUAAUUCCAGCUCCAAUAGCGUAUAUUAAAGUUGUUGCAGUUAAAAAGCUCGUAGUUGAAUUUCAGGCCUGGCUGGACGGUCCGCCCUCUGGGUGAGAACUGUCUGUGGUCGGGUCCUACCUUCUGGCGAAGCGUCAUGGCCUUAACCGGCCGUGGCGGGGAACCAGGACUUUUACUGUGAAAAAAUUAGAGUGUUCAAAGCAGGCAGUCGCUUGAAUACAUUAGCAUGGAAUAAUGGAAUAGGACAGUGGUUCUAUUUGUUGGUUUCUAGGACCGUUGUAAUGAUUAAUAGGGAUAGUUGGGGGCAUUAGUAUUCAAUUGUCAGAGGUGAAAUUCUUGGAUUUAUUGAAGACUAACUACUGCGAAAGCAUUUGCCAAGGAUGUUUUCAUUAAUCAAGAACGAAAGUUAGGGGAUCGAAGACGAUCAGAUACCGUCGUAGUCUUAACCAUAAACUAUGCCGACUAGGAAUCGGGCGAUGUUGACAAAAUGACGCGCUCGGCACCUC